rnacentral:rRNA from 1 species
UGGGGAAUCUUGGACAAUGGGGGCAACCCUGAUCCAGCCAUGCCGCGUGAGUGAUGAAGGCCUUAGGGUCGUAAAGCUCUUCGCCUGUGAAGAUAAUGACGGUAGCAGGUAAAGAAACCCCGGCUAACUCCGUGCCAGCAGCCGCGGUAAUACGGAGGGGGUUAGCGUUGUUCGGAAUUACUGGGCGUAAAGCGCACGUAGGCGGACCAGAAAGUUGGGGGUGAAAUCCCGGGGGCUCAACCCCGGAACUGCCUCCAAAACUAUUGGUCUAGAGUUCGAGAGAGGUGAGUGGAAUUCCAAGUGUAGAGGUGAAAUUCGUAGAUAUUUGGAGGAACACCAGUGGCGAAGGCGGCUCACUGGCUCGAUACUGACGCUGAGGUGCGAAAGUGUGGGGAGCAAACAGGAUUAGAUACCCUGGUAGUCCACACCGUAAAACGAUGAAUGCCAGUCGUCGGGUAGCAUGCUAUUCGGUGACACACCUAACGGAUUAAGCAUUCCGGCCU